rnacentral:rRNA from 1 species
GGGAGGGGGGGGUGCUUACCAUCGCAUCUCGCACGAAGCACCUGAUAAUGAUUCUUCGGAUGAAGUCUCUUGUGACUGAGUGGCGGACGGGUGAGUAACGCGUGGGUAACCUGCCUCACACAGGGGGAUAACAGUUGGAAACGACCGCUAAUACCGCAUAACCCGCUGGUGCCGCAUGGCACUGACGGAAAAGAUUUAUCGGUGUGAGAUGGACCCGCGUCUGAUUAGCCAGUUGGCAGGGCAACGGCCUACCAAAGCGACGAUCAGUAGCCGGCCUGAGAGGGUGAACGGCCACAUUGGGACUGAGACACGGCCCAGACUCCUGCGGGAGGCAGCAGUGGGGAAUAUUGCACAAUGGGGGAAACCCUGAUGCAGCGACGCCGCGUGAGUGAAGAAGUAUUUCGGUAUGUAAAGCUCUAUCAGCAGGGAAGAAAAUGACGGUACCUGAUUAAGAAGCCCCGGCUAACUACGUGCCAGCAGCCGCGGUAAUACGUAGGGGGCAAGCGUUAUCCGGAUUUACUGGGUGUAAAGGGAGCGUAGACGGUGAUGCAAGUCAGAAGUGAAAGCCCGGGGCUCAACUCCGGGACUGCUUUUGAAACUGUGUGACUGGAGUGCAGGAGAGGUAAGCGGAAUUCCUGGUGUAGCGGUGAAAUGCGUAGAUAUCAGGGGGAACACCAGUGGCGAAGGCGGCUUACUGGACUGUAACUGACGUUGAGGCUCGAAAGCGUGGGGAGCAAACAGGAUUAGAUACCCUGGUAGUCCACGCCGUANACGAUGAAUAUUANGUGUCGGGGAGCAAAGCUCUUCGGUGCCGCAGCAAACGCAUUAAAUAUUCCACCUGGGGAGUACG